UUUGAUCCUGGCUCAGAGUGAACGCUGGCGGCAGGCCUAAUACAUGCAAGUCGAACGGCAGCACAGCAGAGCUUGCUCUGUGGGUGGCGAGUGGCGGACGGGUGAGGAAUACAUGGGAAUCUGCCCAGUCGUGGGGGAUAACGUAUGGAAACGUACGCUAAUACCGCAUGCGCCCUACGGGGGAAAGCCGGGGACCUUCGGGCCUGGCGCGAUUGGAUGAGCCCAUGUUCGAUUAGCUAGUUGGCGGGGUAAAGGCCCACCAAGGCGACGAUCGAUAGCUGGUCUGAGAGGAUGAUCAGCCACACUGGGACUGAGACACGGCCCAGACUCCUACGGGAGGCAGCAGUAGGGAAUAUUGGACAAUGGGCGCAAGCCUGAUCCAGCCAUGCCGCGUGAGUGAAGAAGGCCCUCGGGUUGUAAAGCUCUUUUGUCCGGAAAGAAAAGCAUUCGGUUAAUAGGCCGGGUGUCCUG
rnacentral:rRNA from 1 species